UUCAGAAGCUAAAGACUGCUCCAUCCUACC
rnacentral:piRNA from 1 species